GAGAGAGAGAGAGAGAGAGAGAGAGAGACUGCAUUUACAGCAGUGAAACUUUAAUUUCAAGGUUUAAGCUCUUUUAAUAUUUUCCUCUUGUACUGUAACAAAACGCACUGAAAAGACCCCCACAAAAAAAAAAAAAAAAAAAAAAAAUCCUUAGGAACUUUGUCCAGUAAAAAAAUGUACGUAUUACUCAGAGAACUGUUCCUUGUCGACGUUCUGGUUGUGGGAAGGGAAAAUGUUUUCUUGAUCCAUGACGUGAUUCAUUCGUUACUGCAUAAGUUGGAGAGAGAGAGAGAGAGAGAGAGAGAGAGAGAGAGAGAGAGAGAGAGAGAGAGAGAGAGAGAGAGAGAGAGAGAGAGAGAGAGAGAGAGAGAGAUCCGCGCAAUAAAUGAAGAAUACAUGGAUAAACAUUAUGUUUGAAACAAAAUUAGCUAAGUUUGAAAAUUAAUUCACUUUAAAUUUGAGCAGAGGGUAUACAUUUGUGUUACAUUCUAUGUGCAGACAUAAAUAAAUUGAUAAGUGAAAUGAACUAAAAUACACCAAUAAAUAAGAUUCAUUGAAUCAAAAUAAAGGUGAAUGAUGGGAACAUAAGAAUAGACAAAUAAGUAAAACAGUGAAUACAUAAGGAAAUUAAUAAGGCACAAACCACUAAAUGAAUGUAAAUAAACUAAUAAAAAAUAAAUAAAAAUAAGAAUACCGGGAAUCUAACGCCAAUGUGUUAUCCGUCAUGAAAUCCACAGUGCAUUAGGUUAGAUUGGGUUAUUCUGUUUUAGGUUAGGUUAUUGUGACUUGAUUAGGAUAAGAAAAGUAAGAUUAAUUUGCUUGCGUUAUGUUAAAAGUUAUAUUAUUCUGAUUAGGCUAAGUUAGGUUAGGAAUGCGUAGGUUAUUCUAGUUAGGUUAUGUUAUUCUAGUUAGGGUAGGAUAGGAGAGGUUAGGUUAUUAUUAACAGGCUUGAAGUUCGGUAAUUUUGAUUCCGUUAUGUUAAGAGAAAUGCUACCCUGACUAGGUUAGGUAAAAUUAGAUUAUUCUACUUGACUUAGGAUAGGUUAGGUUUAAGUAUUCUGGUAGGUACCGUAGAAUGCUCUGACUAAACCACUUUUUCCUAACCCAUGAUGUAAGACAGAAUGUAUGCACAAGGUAUCAAGUGCCCACAAGCUCCUACGUGUCUGCUGAGCCUGCCCAUUCCCCACACCGCUGUAUUGAAGCAGAGCCAUCUGUUGGCGGACGCGGGCAACAUUGCCGCGUUUUCUUCACGCGGGAAAUAUUUGACUUGCUGAAAACAUCCUGGCCUGGUCGAUCAGCUGACAAGGCGUGGACAUUACUGUGCCAGGAACCCUGCACAUCACAUUCGCCGUGGACAGCAGGCACGAGCGGGCAUUGGGUAACAGGAACAACAAGACUAAUUCUGCCCAAAUAAUCAAAAAUACAAAUUCAUUACAACCAAGCUAAUGGAUAGUUAAGUUUGUUGUAAAAAAAAAAAAAAAAAUGCAGGUAAGAAUUAAGAAAACUUGGGCUAUCAAAGUGUCAUCGGUUAUCUGAUUUGAGUGCCAGAAACCAAGUUAUACUGACUGGUUUAUUAUAAUGCUACUUUCCUUAAAAAGAAGAAAAAAAAAAGAUAUUAAAGAAAUACGGGGUCAUGAAUCAUAAUUGGUUUAUUAUAAUGCUACUUUCCUUAAAAAGAAGAAAAAAAAGAUAUUAAAGAAAUACGGGGUCAUGAAUCAUAAUUAUUUAUGUAUUUCAUAUACCUAAAUCUAACUUAUACUAACCUAAACUUAACAUAAUGUAAUUUAUCCCAACAUUACCCAAAGAAUUUUAAGUCUUACCUGUCCUGGAGAGAGUCUACAUCUUACUAAUAUCCAAAUAAUUGCCUUUAUUUGUGUACAUUUGAUAAUUUUUGUUACAUGGAUUUUUUUUCAAAUAUGAUUCCGUUCAUGCUCUUCCAGUUGUGUAUAGGUAAAACACUUUCUUCCAUAUUCAAGUUAGAACACUUUUUGAAAAACAAUAUUUUCACCCUUUUCAUAUGUUAUUGAUACAGUUAAUAAUAAUAAUAAUAAUGAUAAUAAUAAUAAUAAUAAUAAUAAUAAUAAAUAUAAUAAAUAUAAAGACGCACCAUUCUCUUUGGAACAAAAUGUUCAUGUACUGUAUUUUACUAAAGCUCACUAAUAUAAUCACAGCACCAAAAUUCCAUAUGUGCAUGCAAGUCUGAUAGCUGCUUGACAUGCUGCAUAAUGUUUAACAGCUUUCCUGUAUAGGCAUAGAUUUUUGUGGAUCACUUCAUUCCAGGUUUUCUUGGGGCUUAUUCAGAAAACAUUUCUGAUUCUAUAUUAAAAGUUUUUGAUAAAGUCUGGCGUAAAUCUUUAAUUUCUAAGAUACCCUUAUAGUUUAUAUCCAUCUUCUGUACCUUUAUAUUUAGUUUCCUUUAUGGCCAUUUUUUUAGUUGCAGUGGUAGACAACCACUGCUCUUCUAAACCCUUUAAUAGUGGUGUUCCACAGGACUCAGUCCUGUCAUUUACCUUAUUCCUGUUAUAUAUAUACAUAAAUGAUCAAGUCGAACUUCUUUCCCUAUCCAUUCUUACAUUUAUGACUUUACCUGCGAUUUCUUGGUGCCAUUUAGUAGAUGCCUAGCCCACCAGGAAUUAAACAGUUCAUGAAGAGAAGCCAUAGAAUGCUUAUCUUUUGAUCUUAAAUCUAAUUCCUUCAUCUGUCAACUUGACACAACCUUGCAGACAACUAUCUCCCUCCUCUAUACUCAGCAUAAUUGAACCACUAAAAAUCUCAAUUGAAAAUUUUUCAUCUCUUCUCUUCCUAAAAUAGCUCCCAUUAAUUUUCCUCCCUUUAUCCACUUACUGUAUGUAGGGGCCUUAUCUGUCUGUGUACAGGUUCAAAGCCCUCUUAAACAAGGUGGAGUCAAAAAGCUUUUCAUCUCAUCCUUAACUCUAUCAGACUGUCCUGAUUCUCUCAUUCACCAUUCAUAAUGCUACAUCUCAUGUUUUCUUCUACCAUUAUUUCCAGGGGAUUUAGGCUGUUGUUGUCCAUUUCUCCCAUAUCCCCUACUGCACAUUACACAUAUAAAAUGAAAUGAAAAUCCCUCUAUGCAGAUUGUAUAUGACUAUUCACUUACAGAUACUAUUACAUACAUCACUAGCCUCAUGAGCAAUCACAGCCUUUUUAUUUUAUGUUUAUUUACCCUUGAGCUCCUGAAAUUCAUAACCUCUCUCCAUCUGAGCUAAGUUCUAGCUUAGCAACAUUCUCUGUAAUUAGCACCAGAUCAUCUCCAUAAAGAGUGAGUCUUAUCCCUGAUAUAUACCAGUGUUUUCAGGAAAUAAAAAAACUUAACUUCUGCCUUGCACUUGUGUGGUAGACUAUAUAUCACCUACAUAUAUUACCAUUAAUACUCUUUACUUAUUACUGAAUUACUAACUUUUCAUAGACUUACAAGUAUAUCUCUGAAAAAAUUCGUUACACAAUACUGCAACAGAGUAAUAAUGUAAACACAGAUUUGAUUUUCCUACACAGAAAUGUCAUUGAAAGCAAUUAUUCUUCCAACAAAACAAUUGCUCUUACCUUUCCUGUAUUUUAAGACACUAACAAAAUACAAUCUUGAUACCAAAUAGUACAGUAAUACUGUUCAUCAUCUAUGCUUUUCAUUCAAUUCAUGUUUAAUACAUUUUCAAAUGUUGAAACACUAAGGUAUAUCUGGUUCCAAAAUAAGACAGUAUCUAAUAUCCUAUAAUCAUCCACCUGCUGGUACAUAUUUGCAAGGAAGUGAGGUGCCUAGAGAUGUCUAUAAAAUAUACCCACCCACACAAGACAAGCCUACUAAGUAAUUCUAGCUGAAACUCAAGAUCUUAAACAUAACAGCAACGACUGGCUGUUAUCUUUGUUAUGUUAUUUUGACUAUUCUACAUUGUUGGUCCCUUUAUUAUUAAGACUGGUACACUAAAAAAAAAAAUAAUGAUAUACCCUUAUUUUGGUCUAUAAAAAUAAAACUUAUUUUCAA